GACGAACGCUGGCGGCGUGCUUAACACAUGCAAGUCGAACGAAGAGCGAUGGAAGCUUGCUUCUAUCAAUCUUAGUGGCGAACGGGUGAGUAACGCGUAAUCAACCUGCCCUUCAGAGGGGGACAACAGUUGGAAACGACUGCUAAUACCGCAUACGAUCUAAUCUCGGCAUCGAGGAUAGAUGAAAGGUGGCCUCUACAUGUAAGCUAUCACUGAAGGAGGGGAUUGCGUCUGAUUAGCUAGUUGGAGGGGUAACGGCCCACCAAGGCGAUGAUCAGUAGCCGGUCUGAGAGGAUGAACGGCCACAUUGGGACUGAGACACGGCCCAGACUCCUACGGGAGGCAGCAGUGGGGAAUCUUCCGCAAUAGACGAAAGUCUGACGGAGCAACGCCGCGUGAGUGAUGACGGCCUUCGGGUUGUAAAGCUCUGUUAAUCAGGACGAAAGGCCUUCUUGCGAAUAGUGAGAAGGAUUGACGGUACCGGAAUAGAAAGCCACGGCUAACUACGUG
rnacentral:rRNA from 1 species